UACGGAGGGUGCAAGCGUUAUCCGGAUUUACUGGGUUUAAAGGGUGCGCAGGCGGGUAUGUAAGUCAGUGGUGAAAUCUCCGGGCUUAACCCGGAAAUUGCCGUUGAUACUAUAUAUCUUGAAUGCUGUGGAGGUAAGCAGAAUAUGUCAUGUAGCGGUGAAAUGCUUAGAUAUGACAUAGAAUACCUAUUGCGAAGGCAGCUUACUACGCAGAUAUUGACGCUCAUGCACGAAAGCGUGGGGAUCAAACAGG
rnacentral:rRNA from 1 species